GGUGAUUAUAAUGCUAAGCAUACACACUGGGGAUCGAGAUUGAUCACCCCAAAGGGACGAGCCUUGUUAAAAGUUGCAAACAACAUCAACGCUGAAAUCAUCACAACAAGAAAGCCAACGUAUUGGCCCACUGAUCCGAACAAGAUUCCCGACCUGCUUGACUUCUUCAUUAUGAAAGGUAUAUCUUCUAAUUAUAUCGAAGUAAUAGAACUUACAGAACUAACGUCAGAUCACAUACCAGUGCUUCUCACGUUAAGUUCUAAUGUUAUACAUAAACAACGAAAGAUGUUGCUAACCAACAAGAAAACAGAUUGGGACAUCUUUAGAGCGAAUCUAGACGAGACCUUAAUGCUCACAGUAAGACUAAGAACACCUAUUGAAAUUGAUAGUGCUGUUGAACAACUGACUAAUAACAUCGUAAAAGCAGCGAAAGUGGCCACACCCAUAAUACCAACAGGUGAUAAUCGCGAGAUUACCUACCCAAUGGAUAUAAAAAAUCUAGUUCAACAAAAACGCCGAGCGA